UACAGAGGUCUCAAGCGUUGUUCGGAUUCAUUGGGCGUAAAGGGUGCGUAGGUGGUCGUGUAAGUCAGACGUGAAAUCCCUCGGCUCAACCGGGGAACUGCGUCUGAUACUGGCGGGCUUGAAUUCGGGAGAGGGAUGUGGAAUUCCAGGUGUAGCGGUGAAAUUCGUAGAUAUUCGGAAGAACACCAGUGGCGAAGGCGGCUCACUGGCCCGGUACUGACGCUGAGGUGCGAAAGCGUGGGGAGCAAACAGG
rnacentral:rRNA from 1 species